GGCGGCGAAGAUUUUUUGCUAGUCCCGCCACCAACAGGGUUUCGCCGGUGAUGUCGGAACCAUUCGUCGGCGCCGUUCACGCGGGAGGGUUGGGGAUUCUUGGGGGCAGAGAUCGUCGAGUGGAUGCUAUGAACCCAACUACGACCCUGAUGACGGUUCGUCAAACACUGAGAGUUGCGAUGAGAGCAUUGCAUCUAGUGAUGAAGAAUCUGUAUCCAGGAGGAAGAAGUUAUUAGAAGAUGCUUUAUUUGAUUUUUGUAGGAAGGAGGCAGUCAAAUCACUCGAGAUUUUUCAAAAUUGUACGAGAACAUGGUGAUUCAUUAGAGAUAUACAUCUGGGCAAGGCAUUGCGAUGCAUUCAGCGCACGGGGUCUUCCGCUUAGCUGCAAGGUCCGCGUUUCGCUGAGCCCGCAAUGCCUUCCUCUCAUCCGGUGGUAUGCUCUGCCUGCGUGCUCUUCGACGGGCGUUCAUCUCUUGCCUCUGCUCAACUGGUAUAUUUUUACUCGCUGCCCUUCUACGGGCGUUCAUCUCUUGCCUCUCCUUGGUUGUCAGAUUUUGUCUUGCAGCCCUUUGGCUCGUAUUCCUAUAUUCAAUAGUUUUAUUUUGUCUAGAUGCUCUUCGACGUGCAUUCACUUCUUCCCUUUGCUUGGGUGUUAGGCUAUCUCGCCUUGCUUUAUCACGGUUUCGUCUUUGUUGAUUUUUGUCUUCUUUAACGCGCUUGCAUUGGAAGCUAUAUCUUCAGCACCACUCGGUGUUCCUUGAGGUGAUGUAGGGUUUUCUACAUGACCAGUGUGUAAUUUGUUAAAUCCAAGACCCACAUUUGAAGCAAUAUACGCAGUACAUGGUUAGACUUAAUAAAUCUAGAUCUAUAGAUGACCAUACUUCACUGGUAAAAACGUCGUGUGAAAGGGUAAAUAUCAUUUGAUGUUCCCACAUGGUCCUGUGGCGCCAAUGCUAUCAUGGUACUGGUUGUGGGAAGCAUUGUAGCUAAUUGGGUGGAUGGUUCCCAUAUGAACAUUCCGUAUGACCGUUCCACAACAACAGUUAAGAUUACAAGAUGGUCAGCUUCAAAUCAUUAAUUUAAGACAUUAUGUCUCCACAAUUUGUUAGAGAAUACACAUCUCUUUUUCCCUUAUCCUCCGACAUCUUAUAAGCAAAUGUUGCAUGGAUAAUGAUUAACGACCUUUGGACCUUCACCACCGUGGUUCAUAAACAAAGUAAAAUAGUUGAUGCUACGAUUUCAGUCAAUAAAGAUGUUAUGAGGGAGAAUUCAGACAAAAAGGUCAAAAUAAAAUACAGUAUUAGUACAUGGUGCAUGGAUAGUGAAUUAGUGAUUAAGGCCCUUUGAACCUUCAACACCAUGGUUCAUAAACAAAGAAAAAUAAAUAAUAAUUACCUACAUACGCAGUUUCUCCUCCAUGCGCACAUUAUUGUCUUCUCCAGACAUCUAAUGAAUUUCUACAAGUUUGCUUGGUGAGGUUGCAUUUCUUAUUGCCCAAGUUGAAAGUUCCAGGAGACAAUCAGCAGUCGAUAUGCAGGUGAGUGUUGUGUAUCAUUCAUGAAGUUGAUUCAAAUCAAGAUGUGGCAGAAUAUUUCUUGAUAAGUGAUUUUUUGUAGUUACAACCCAUCUGGCCUACGAAUUGCAGAAACUAUUUCAAUCAUUUUUAGUAGUAGUUUCCGUUUCAAAAAAAAUUAGUAGUAGUUCGCCAUGCAUAUAUCAGGACUAUGAAGAUCCACAAGAAAGACGGCACUACGUCGGAGAAACAGAUGGCUUUGUCAAAAGGUGAACUCACCUCCGGGUGAUGAAAGCGACGCUGACAAGUUGAUAAUAAACUCAUGUGAGCUCCAUGGUGACCUGGUGUGAUCUCCAUCGUGAUCUCUCAGCGAUGUAUCGUCUUGGUGACUUGGUGUGAUCUCCAGCGUGAUCUUCCAGCUAUGUAUCGUCUUGGUGACCUGGCGUGAUCUCCUAGCGAUGUAUCGACUUGCUUGAUGGAGAGACCUACUACUUAUAAUGCUCGGAGAUGUUUGAAGGAGUUAUCAAUCUUGUCAGGCUUUCCUUAUCUCCACCCUGAUAUUUAGUAUAUGUAAUAAUUAGGCUAAUUAUUGUCAGGAUUCUAUGGUUUCUUUUCCUAUGUAUAUCAGUACGAGGGUGGGAGGAACGGAACGAUGGUGCUGAUC